CCUACGGGGGGCAGCAGUGGGGGAUAUUGCACAAUGGGGGGAACCCUGAUGCAGCGACGCCGCGUGGGUGAAGGAGCGCUUCGGCGCGUAAAGCUCUAUCGGCAGGGAAGAAGAUGACGGUACCUGACCAAGAAGCCCCGGCUAACUACGAGCCAGCAGCCGCGGUAAUACGUAGGGGGCAAGCGUUAUCCGGAUUUACUGGGUGUAAAGGGGGCGUAGACGGCAAUGCAAGCCAGGAGUGAAAGCCCGGGGCCCAACCCCGGGACUGCACUGGGAACUGUAUGGCUGGAGUACAGGAGGGGGAGGCGGAAUUCGUGGUGUAGCGGUGAAAUGCGUAGAUAUUAGGAAGAACACCGGUGGCGAAGGAGGCCUGCUGGACUGUGACUGACGUUGAGGCCCGAAGGCGUGGGGAGCAAACAGGAUUAGAUACCCCUGUAGUC
rnacentral:rRNA from 1 species